UGGGGAAUUUUCCGCAAUGGGCGAAAGCCUGACGGAGUGACGCCGCGUGGGGGACGAAGGCCUUCGGGUCGUAAACCCCUGUCAGAGGGAAAGAAGGGGGUCGGCGUGAAUAGCGCCGGCCUUUGACGGUACCUUCAGAGGAAGCCCCGGCCAACUCUGUGCCAGCAGCCGCGGUAAGACAGAGGGGGCAAGCGUUGCCCGGAAUUACUGGGCGUAAAGGGCGCGUAGGCGGGAUGGCGAGUCGGUCGUGAAAUCCCUUGGCUCAACUGAAGGGAGUCGGCCGAUACAGCUGUUCUUGAGGGAUGCAGAGGAGACUGGAAUUCCCGGUGUAACGGUGAAAUGUGUAGAGGUCGGGAGGAACACCGGUGGCGAAGGCGGGUCUCUGGGCAUCUCCUGACGCUGAGGCGCGAAAGCGUGGGGAGCAAACGGG
rnacentral:rRNA from 1 species